GAUGAACGCUGGCGGCGUGCUUAACACAUGCAAGUCGAACGGAAAGGCCCAAGCUUGCUUGGGUACUCGAGUGGCGAACGGGUGAGUAACACGUGGGUGAUCUGCCCUGCACUUCGGGAUAAGCCUGGGAAACUGGGUCUAAUACCGGAUAGGACCACAUUUUGGAUGGUGUGGUGGAAAGUUUUUGGGUGAGGGACGAGCUCGCGGCCUAUCAGCUUGUUGGUGGGGUAAUGGCCUACCAAGGCGUGGAAGGGUAGCCGGCCAGUGGGGGUGUACGGCCACAUUGGGACUUAGAUGCGGCCCAGAUGCCUACGGGAGGCAGCAGGGGGGAAUAUUGCACAAUGGGCGCCAGCCUGAUGCAGCGGGGCUGCGUGUGGGAUGACGGCCUUCGGGUUGUAAACUCCUUUCGCUAGGGACGGAGCGUUAUGUGACGGUACCUGGAGAAGAAGCACCGGCUAACUACGUG
rnacentral:rRNA from 1 species